GAUGAACGCUGGCGGUAUGCUUAACACAUGCAAGUCGAACGGUACCUUCGGGUAUAGUGGCGGACGGGUGAGUAACGCGUGAGAAUCUAUCUUCAGGUCGGGGACAACAGUUAGAAAUGACUGCUAAUACCGGAUGUGCCGAAAGGUGAAAGAUUUAUUGCCUGAAAAAGAGCUCGCGUCAGAUUAGCUAGUAGGUGGUGUAAGAGACUACCUAGGCUUCGAUCUGUAGCUGGUCUGGGAGGACGAUCAGCCACACUGGAACUGAGACACGGUCCAGACUCCUACGGGAGGCAGCAGUGGGGAAUUUUCCGCAAUGGGCGAAAGCCUGACGGAGCAAUGCCGCGUGAGGGACGAAGGCUCUUGGGUCGUAAACCUCUUUUCUCAAGGAAGAUUCAGACGGUACUUGAGGAAUAAGCAUCGGCUAACUCUGUG
rnacentral:rRNA from 1 species